UGGUGCCAGCAGCCGCGGUAAUUCCAGCUCCAAUAGCGUAUAUUAAAGUUGUUGCAGUUAAAAAGCUCGUAGUUGAAUUUCGGGGUUAGUAAGUUGGUCAUGCCUCCGGUAUGCACUGGCUUUACUGAUUCCUCCUUCUUGAUGAACUGUAAUGUCAUUAAUUUGGUGUUGCAGGGAAUCAGGACUGUUACUUUGAAAAAAUUAGAGUGUUUAAAGCAGGCAUAAGCUUGAAUACAUUAGCAUGGAAUAAUGAAAUAGGACGUUUGAUCCUAUUUUGUUGGUUUCUAGGAUUGACGUAAUGAUUAAUAGGGAUAGUUGGGGGCAUUAGUAUUCAAUUGUCAGAGGUGAAAUUCUUGGAUUUAUUGAAGACUAACUACUGCGAAAGCAUUUGCCAAGGAUGUUUUCAUUAAUCAAGAACGAAAGUUAGGGGAUCGAAGACGAUCAGAUACCGUCGUAGUCUUAACCAUAAACUAUGCCGACUAGGAU
rnacentral:rRNA from 1 species